rnacentral:rRNA from 1 species
CCUACGGGAGGCAGCAGUGAGGAAUAUUGGUCAAUGGACGCAAGUCUGAACCAGCCAUGCCGCGUGCAGGAAGACGGUCCUAUGGAUUGUAAACUGCUUUUGUACGGGAAGAAACACUCCUACGUGUAGGAGCCUGACGGUACCGUAAGAAUAAGGAUCGGCUAACUCCGUGCCAGCAGCCGCGGUAAUACGGAGGAUCCAAGCGUUAUCCGGAAUCAUUGGGUUUAAAGGGUCCGUAGGCGGUUUAAUAAGUCAGUGGUGAAAUCUGGUCGCUCAACGAUCAAACUGCCAUUGAUACUGUUAGACUUGAAUUACUGUGAAGUAACUAGAAUAUGUAGUGUAGCGGUGAAAUGCUUAGAUAUUACAUGGAAUACCAAUUGCGAAGGCAGGUUACUAACAGUUGAUUGACGCUGAUGGACGAAAGCGUGGGGAGCGAACAGGAUUAGAUACCCUGGUAGUCCACGCCGUAAACGAUGGAUACUAGUUGUUUGGAUUUAUAUGUAGUGAUAAGACGAAGUAGAGUAAGUAUACCACCUCGGUAGGUACGAACGACGAAGUUAGUAACGUAACAAUAGAAGUUAGUACGGACGUGGAGUAGUCGACGACGACGACGACGGAGGGAGGAGG